AACGAACGCUGGCGGCAUGCCUAACACAUGCAAGUCGAACGAGACCUUCGGGUCUAGUGGCGCACGGGUGCGUAACGCGUGGGAACCUGCCUUUAGGUUCGGGAUAACUCAGAGAAAUUUGAGCUAAUACCGGAUGAUGUCUUCGGACCAAAGAUUUAUCGCCUUUAGAUGGGCCCGCGUUGGAUUAGCUAGUUGGUGGGGUAAAGGCCUACCAAGGCGACGAUCCAUAGCUGGUCUGAGAGGAUGAUCAGCCACACUGGGACUGAGACACGGCCCAGACUCCUACGGGAGGCAGCAGUGGGGAAUAUUGGACAAUGGGCGAAAGCCUGAUCCAGCAAUGCCGCGUGAGUGAUGAAGGCCUUAGGGUUGUAAAGCUCUUUUACCCGAGAUGAUAAUGACAGUAUCGGGAGAAUAAGCUCCGGCUAACUCCG
rnacentral:rRNA from 1 species